rnacentral:rRNA from 1 species
GCCCAGUCAUUAACUUCGACGAUAUACUACUCCCUCGUCCGCCAGAGAACUACAAGUGAAAAACUUCAAACUCCAAGGACUUGACGGUUUCCCAUACCAAACUAGAGGAGCUUGUCCUAUAAUCGAUAACCCACGUUAUACCUCACCCUCUUUUGCCACUCCGUCUAUAUACCGCCGUCAUCUCGCUUACCCCAUGAGGGAAAAAUCGUAAGCUAAAAGGUAUUCCACAAACACAUCAGGUCAAGGUGUAGCUAAUAAGAGGGAAAGUGAUGGGCUACACUCUUUAAAAUAAAGAAUACAAACCACAGAAUGAAACUCUGCUUAUAGGUGGAUUUAGUAGUAAACUAAAAAAGCUUUUUUAGUUGAAACUUGCUCUGGGACGCGU